GUGUCAGCUGACUGACACUUGGCUUGAGGAAGGGGGUAAGUGAAGCAGCCCAGCAGGGGUCUCCCUCCCAAGCUAGAUCUUAGCCAUUGUGGUGGGUGUGGGAAGGGAUCUGGAGGGAGAAGACCACGGGUCUCCUUUCCAACACGGGCCUAAUUUUCAGAGGGUGAAGUAGAAAAACCCACAGCUGCACAGCAGGGGGUCCUCCUCCAAACACAGAUUCAGGACAUGGGUCCAGAGGAUCAAAGCUCAACAUUUUCCCUAUGUUCAUCUUCAAAGGCCUCCCUCAGACAAAUUCUUU